GACGAACGCUGGCGGCAGGCUUAACACAUGCAAGUCGAGCGGCCCGCCAGGGGUGUGGUGGAGGGGUGGGUAGGGCGUGGGGAUAUUCCCUUUUCUAUGAACUACCCUUGGGAAACUGGGGGUAAUAGGGAACACGCCCUAAUGCGGAAAGAUUGAUCGGCCAGGGUUGAGCCCGCGUGGGAUUUGGGAGUGGGUGGGGUGAUGGCCCACCAAGUCGGCGAGCCAUAGCUGGUAUGAGAGGAUGAUCAGCCACAAUGGGACUGAGACACGGCCCAGACUCCUACGGGAGGCAGCAGUGGGGAGUCUUAGACAAUGGGGGCAACCCUGAUCUAGCCAUGCCGCGUGUGUGAUGAAGGCCUUAGGGUUGUAAUGCUCUCUCAGCUGGGAAGAUAGUGACGGUACCAGCAGAAGAAGCCCCGGCUAACUCCGUG
rnacentral:rRNA from 1 species